rnacentral:rRNA from 1 species
AUUGAACGCUGGCGGAAUGCUUUACACAUGCAAGUCGAGCGGCAGCGCGGGGCAACCUGGCGGCGAGCGGCGAACGGGUGAGUAAUGCAUCGGAACGUACCCAGUCGUGGGGAAUAACACAGCGAAAGUUGUGCUAAUACCGCAUACGUCCUGAGGGAGAAAGCGGGGGAUCGCAAGACCUCGCGCGAUUGGAGCGGCCGAUGUCGGAUUAGCUAGUUGGUGGGGUAAAGGCCCACCAAGGCGACGAUCCGUAGCUGGUCUGAGAGGACGACCAGCCAGACUGGAACUGAGACACGGUCCAGACUCCUACGGGAGGCAGCAGUGGGGAAUUUUGGACAAUGGGGGCGACCCUGAUCCAGCCAUUCCGCGUGAGUGAAGAAGGCCUUCGGGUUGUAAAGCUCUUUCGGCAGGAACGAAACGGUGGGGGCUAAUAUCCCUUGCUAAUGACGGUACCUGAAGAAGAAGCACCGGCUAACUACGUGCCAGCCGCCGCAGUAA